GACAAGCAAACUCGCUCUGAAACACGGGUGCCUUACAUCAAGAGCUCGAAACAUGCUCUGAAACACUGCCUUGCAUACAAAUUACAUUAACUGAUUAACAUCUACAAGGAACAAAUACCCCUUAAAUCAAAACUCAUCUCUGUCAAGACCCAUCUGGGAUCUCCCAUUUUCGAUUGUCAGUGAAAGAAAUUAUGGCGUAUGGAGACGUUGCAUUCAGUUUGAAGAGGCUCCACUGAAUAUUAUUGGAAACAGUCCCAUUCCUUUGACCCUACUGGUAAAGUCACCAAUUCAAGGUCACCCACUAUGAAUGAAGGAUUGGGGAGUUUGGAAUCAUCUCCUGCUUAUUUAAAUGCAACUUCCAGCAAUGGAAAAAUGGUUCAAUUGUCCCAAUUCAGGCCUAAUUCGUUUCCACUUCAAUACAGUGGAACCUCUUCCUUGCCAAUUUCCAAGCCGUCAGGUAUUGGCUUGCAUUUGAAUAGCAUUGCCAAUACCGUGCCAAUAACCUAUGGUGCCACUGCAAACAUGAAACUACAAGAGGAUUAUAUGGGUGGACGGGGGAUGGAGUCAGCAUCUGCCUGUUGCCCGAUUUCAUCAAAUGGAGUGGGUAAAUUUUCAUUUAUUCCUAAAGAUGUGGGGGGCAGAAGUAAGGCUUUAAUAGCUGCAAGUUUUGCCUCUUCUGAGUCUCCCCAUAUUACAGAACCUCCAAAUGAUAAGAGUAAAAUUAUUUCUGAACAAACUGACAAUUAUGUUUACAGCCGACUAAGCCCCAAAACGAAAAGG